AUUGAACGCUGGCGGCAGGCCUAACACAUGCAAGUCGAACGAGUGGCGGACGGGGGAGUAAUGUCUGUGAAACUGCACGAUGGAGGGGGAUAACUACUGGAAACGGUAGCUAAUACCGCAUACCAUCGGAUGUGCCCCGAUGGGAGUAGCUAGUAGGUGGGGUACCGGCUAACCUAGGCGCCGAUCCCUAGCUGGUCUGAGAGGAGGACCAGCCACACGGGAACUGAGACACGGUCCAGACUCCUACGGGAGUCAGCAGUGGGGAAUAUUGCACAAUGGGCGCAAGCCUGAUGCAGCCAUGCCGCUUGUAUGAAGAAGGCCUUCGGGUUGUAAAGUACUUUCAGCGAGGAGGCGUUACUCGCAGAAGAAGCACCGGCUAACUCCGUGCCAGCAGCCGCGGUAAUAC
rnacentral:rRNA from 1 species